rnacentral:rRNA from 1 species
GACGAACGCUGGCAGCGUGCUUAACACAUGCAAGUCGAACGGAAAGGCCCUGCUUUUGUGGGGUGCUCGAGUGGCGAACGGGUGAGUAACACGUGAGUAACCUGCCCUUGACUUUGGGAUAACUUCAGGAAACUGGGGCUAAUACCGGAUAGGAGCUCCUGCUGCAUGGUGGGGGUUGGAAAGUUUCGGCGGUUGGGGAUGGACUCGCGGCUUAUCAGCUUGUUGGUGGGGUAGUGGCUUACCAAGGCUUUGACGGGUAGCCGGCCUGAGAGGGUGACCGGCCACAUUGGGACUGAGAUACGGCCCAGACUCCUACGGGAGGCAGAAGUGGGGAAUAUUGCACAAUGGGCGGAAGCCUGAUGCAGCAACGCCGCGUGCGGGAUGACGGCCUUCGGGUUGUAAACCGCUUUCGCCUGUGACGAAGCGUGAGUGACGGUAAUGGGUAAAGAAGCACCGGCUAACUACGUG